rnacentral:rRNA from 1 species
CGAUACAAGGUAGGCAGCAGGCGCGCAAUUACCCAUUCCCGACACGGGGAGGUAGUGACGAAAAAUAACAAUUCAAGACUCGAAACGAGGCCUUGAAGUUGGAAUGAGUACACUUUAAAACUUUUAACGAGUAUCUAUUGGAGGGCAAGUCUGGUGCCAGCAGCCGCGGUAAUUCCAGCUCCAAUAGCGUAUACUAAAGUUGUUGCGGUUAAAAAGCUCGUAGUUGGAUCUUGGAGUGUGAGUGAAUGGUCGAUCGAAAGAUUGUACUGUUCGGCACACUCUUCUCUUCGGUUGCGUGUGUAGUGCCCUUAACUGAGUGCUGCACUCGACCGGAAUUUUUACCUUGAAAAAAUUAGAGUGUUCAAAGCAGACCUGAUUAUGUCUGAAUAUUCGUGCAUGGAAUAAUAAAAUAAGAACUUGGUUCUAUUUUAUUGGUUUUCGGAACUCGAGUUAAUGAUUAAGAGGGACAGACGGGGGCAUCCGUACUCUGCCGUUAGAGGUGAAAUUCUUGGAUCGGCGGAAGACGCGCAACUGCGAAAGCAUUUGCCAAGAAUGUUUUCUUUAAUCAAGAACGAAAGUCGGAGGUUCGAAGACGAUCAGAUACCGUCCUAGUUUCGACUGUAAACUAUGCCAGCUAACGAUCAGACAGCGUUCUCUACGACUUGUCUGGCAGUUUCCGGGAAACCAAAGCUUUUGGGUUCCGGGGGAAGUAUGGUUGCAAAGCUGAAACUUAAAGGAAUUGACGGAAGGGCACCACCAGGAGUGGAGCCUGCGGCUUAAUUUGACUCAACACGGGGAAACUCACCCGGCCCGGACACAGUGAGGAUUGACAGAUUGAGAGUUCUUUCUUGAUUCUGUGGGUGGUGGUGCAUGGCCGUUCUUAGUUGGUGGAGCGAUUUGUCUGGUUAAUUCCGAUAACGAACGAGACUCUGGCAUGUUAAAUAGUCGCGGGAGUUAUUAUUACUCGCCUUGAUGACUUCUUAGAGGGACAAGUGAUUUUAAUCACACGAGAUUGAACAAUAACAGGUCUGUGAUGCCCUUAGAUGUUCGGGGCCGCACGCGCGCUACAAUGAGUCGAUCAACGAGCGUUCUUUUUUCCAAGUCCGAAAGGUCGAGGUAAUCCGUUGAACCCGACUCGUGCUAGGGAUAGGGAAUUGUAAUUGUUUCCCUUGAACGAGGAAUUCCCAGUAAGCGCAAGUCAUCAGCUUGCGUUGAUUACGUCCCUGCCCUUUGUACACACCGCCCGUCGCUACUACCGAUUGAAUGGUUCAGUGAGAUAAUCGGACAGAAAACUUGGCAACUGGCAACAGUUGACGUGCAUUUUGGAAGACGAUCAAANCUUGUUCCUU